rnacentral:rRNA from 1 species
AAAGAAAAUUCGAUUCCCUUAGUAGCGGCGAGCGAAAUGGGAAGAGCCCAAACCAACAAGCUUGCUUGUUGGGGUUGUAGGACACUCUAUACGGAGUUACAAAGGACGACAUUAGACGAAUCAUCUGGAAAGAUGAAUCAAAGAAGGUAAUAAUCCUGUAGUCGAAAAUGUUGUCUCUCUUGAGUGGAUCCUGAGUACGACGGAGCACGUGAAAUUCCGUCGGAAUCUGGGAGGACCAUCUCCUAAGGCUAAAUACUCUCUAGUGACCGAUAGUGAACCAGUACCGUGAGGGAAAGGUGAAAAGCACCCCGGAAGGGGAGUGAAAUAGAACCUGAAACCGUGUGCUUACAAGUAGUCAGAGCCCGUUAAUGGGUGAUGGCGUGCCUUUUGUAGAAUGAACCGGCGAGUUACGAUUUGAUGCAAGGUUAAGCAGUAAAUGUGGAGCCGUAGCGAAAGCGAGUCUGAAUAGGGCGUUUAGUAUUUGGUCGUAGACCCGAAACCAGGUGAUCUACCCUUGGUCAGGUUGAAGUUCAGGUAACACUGAAUGGAGGACCGAACCGACUUACGUUGAAAAGUGAGCGGAUGAACUGAGGGUAGCGGAGAAAUUCCAAUCGAACCUGGAGAUAGCUGGUUCUCUCCGAAAUAGCUUUAGGGCUAGCCUCAAGUGAUGAUUAUUGGAGGUAGAGCACUGUUUGGACGAGGGGCCCCUCUCGGGUUACCGAAUUCAGACAAACUCCGAAUGCCAAUUAAUUUAACUUGGGAGUCAGAACAUGGGUGAUAAGGUCCGUGUUCGAAAGGGAAACAGCCCAGACCACCAGCUAAGGUCCCAAAAUAUAUGUUAAGUGGAAAAGGAUGUGGCGUUGCCCAGACAACUAGGAUGUUGGCUUAGAAGCAGCCAUCAUUUAAAGAGUGCGUAAUAGCUCACUAGUCGAGUGACACUGCGCCGAAAAUGUACCGGGGCUAAACAUAUUACCGAAGCUGUGGAUUGUCCUUUGGACAAUGGUAGGAGAGCGUUCUAAGGGCGUUGAAGCAUGAUCGUAAGGACAUGUGGAGCGCUUAGAAGUGAGAAUGCCGGUGUGAGUAGCGAAAGACGGGUGAGAAUCCCGUCCACCGAUUGACUAAGGUUUCCAGAGGAAGGCUCGUCCGCUCUGGGUUAGUCGGGUCCUAAGCUGAGGCCGACAGGCGUAGGCGAUGGAUAACAGGUUGAUAUUCCUGUACCACCUAUAAUCGUUUUA